rnacentral:rRNA from 1 species
GACGAACGCCGGCGGCGUGCCUAAUACAUGCAAGUAGAACGCACAGGAUACACCGUAGUUUACUACACCGUAUUCUUGAGUUGCGAACGGGUGAGUAACGCGUAGGUAACCUGCCUGGUAGCGGGGGAUAACUAUUGGAAACGAUAGCUAAUACCGCAUAAGAACAUUUACUGCAUGGUAGAUGUUUAAAAGGUGCAAAUGCAUCACUACCAGAUGGACCUGCGUUGUAUUAGCUAGUAGGUGAGGUAACGGCUCACCUAGGCGACGAUACAUAGCCGACCUGAGAGGGUGAUCGGCCACACUGGGACUGAGACACGGCCCAGACUCCUACGGGAGGCAGCAGUAGGGAAUCUUCGGCAAUGGGGGGAACCCUGACCGAGCAACGCCGCGUGAGUGAAGAAGGUUUUCGGAUCGUAAAGCUCUGUUGUUAAGGAAGAACGAGUGUGAGAAAUGGAAAAGUU